GUGCUCACCUUGGCAGCACAUAUACUGAAACUGGAACGAUACAGAGACAAUUAACGUGGCCCCUGUGCAAGGAUGACACGCACACUCAUGAAGCAGUCCAUAUUUAA